CUCAGGGGUGGGGUCCCUCAGCCUGGAUUGCGAGAGGGGGCAGGCCAGGCCGAGGGACCCCACUGGUGCAUG
rnacentral:pre_miRNA from 1 species